GACGAACGCUGGCGGCGUGCUUAACACAUGCAAGUCGAACGCUGAAGGCCCCAGCUUGCUGGGUGGCUGAGUGGCGAACGGGUGAGUAACACGUGAGUAACCUGCCCCCUUCUUUGGGAUAACGGUCGGAAACGGCUGCUAAUACCGGGUAUUCACUGUCCUUCGCAUGGGGGGUGGUGGAAAGGUUUUUUCUGGUGGGGGAUGGGCUCGCGGCCUAUCAGCUUGUUGGUGGGGUGAUGGCUUACCAAGGCUUUGACGGGUAACCGGCCUGAGAGGGUGACCGGUCACAUUGGGACUGAGAUACGGCCCAGACUCCUACGGGAGGCAGCAGUGGGGAAUAUUGCACAAUGGGCGAAAGCCUGAUGCAGCGACGCCGCGUGAGGGAUGGAGGCCUUCGGGUUGUAAACCUCUUUCGCUCAUGGUCAAGCCGCAACUGUGGUUGUGGUGAGGGUAGUGGGUAAAGAAGCACCGGCUAACUACGUGCCAGCAGCCGCGGUAAUACGUAGGGUGCGAGCGUUGUCCGGAAUUAUUGGGCGUAAAGGGCUUGUAGGCGGUUUGUCGCGUCUGCCGUGAAAUCCUCUGGCUUAACUGGGGGCGUGCGGUGGGUACGGGCAGGCUUGAGUGCGGUAGGGGAGACUGGAACUCCUGGUGUAGCGGUGGAAUGCGCAGAUAUCAGGAAGAACACCGGUGGCGAAGGCGGGUCUCUGGGCCGUUACUGACGCUGAGGAGCGAAAGCGUGGGGAGCGAACAGG
rnacentral:rRNA from 1 species